GAGUUUGAUCUUGGCUCAGAUUGAACGCUGGCGGCAUGCCUUACACAUGCAAGUCGAACGACAGCACGGGAGCUUGCUCCUGGUGGCGAGUGGCGAACGGGUGAGUAAUGCAUCGGAACGUAUCCUGGAGUGGGGGAUAACGUAGCGAAAGGUACGCUAAUACCGCAUAUUCUGUGAGCAGGAAAGCGGGGGACCUUCGGGCCUCGCGCUCUUGGAGCGGCCGAUGUCGGAUUAGCUAGUUGGUGAGGUAAAGGCUCACCAAGGCGACGAUCCGUAGCAGGUCUAAGAGGAUGAUCUGCCACACUGGAACUGAGACACGGUCCAGACUCCUACGGGAGGCAGCAGUGGGGAAUUUUGGACAAUGGGGGCAACCCUGAUCCAGCCAUGCCGCGUGAGUGAAGAAGGCCUCGGUU
rnacentral:rRNA from 1 species